GAUGAAGAACGUAGCGAAAUGCGAUAAGUAAUGUGAAUUGCAGAAUUUAGUGAAUCAUCGAAUCUUUGAACGCAUAUUGCGCCCGCCAGCACUCUGGCGGGCAUGCCUGUUCGAGCGUCAUUUCAACCCUCAGGCCUCGCGUCUGGCGUUGGGGCGCUGCGGCCCUCCCGCAGGCCCCCAAAUUUAGCGGCGGAUUCCCCGCGGCCCUGAGCGCAGUAGAGAGUAAGAACUUUAACGCUCCGGCGGCCGUGGCGCGGUUCUGCCUCUUUCCCAAUAGCGCCAAUAGCGCCACCCCCAAAAAAGUUGACCUCGGAUCAGGUAGGACUACCCGCUGAACUUAAGCAUAUCAAUAAGCGGAGGA
rnacentral:misc_RNA from 1 species